rnacentral:rRNA from 1 species
AUGGCGGCGCCCGUUGGAUCGCUACCCUGCAAAUUUCUCGGGUUGCCGCUCUCCCUACGCAAGCUGAGAAAGGUUGAGUUGCAGCCGCUCCUUGACAAGCUGCUAGCUAGACUCGCCUCCUGGAAACUCAAGCUGCUCACACUGGCUGGGCGGCUCGUCCUGCUCAAUGCAGUGCUCUCGGCGUUCACCGUCUACUGGAUGUCGGUCCACGUGUUGCAGUCCUGCGCGCGCCGUGCCAUCGACCGUGCCCGCCGUGCUUGGCUUUGGAAGGGGCAGGAGGAGUGCCAUGGCGGCCACUGUAAAGUUGCGUGGGGCAGGAUCUGCAGACCGCGGGAUCUUGGGGGCCUGGGGAUCCUGGACAUUGCCCGUUUUGGCACUGCACCGCGCCUCCGCUGGCUCUGGGUAGAGAGAACGACAGUGCAACGGCCUUGGUUUGGUCUCCCAGUGCCUUGUUCGUUGGAGGACAGAGCCCUAUUUGCUGCGGCUACUGUUGCAGUGGUGCAUGACGGUCGAACGGCGUCGUUCUGGUUCGACAGCUGGGUCAAUGGCUCGGCGCCCUUUCUUCUGGUGCCGCAGAUCUUCGGUCUCUCGCGUCGCAAAUGGAGGACUGUGCGUGAUGCCCUUGAUGGCAGCAAGUGGGUGCAAGACCUUAGGGGCCGCAUCACUGCCGACCUGCUCUCGGAGUUCGUGGACCUCUGGAUAAGGAUUGAAGCGGCGGCGACGCUGUCGGAAGGGCAUGACGAAUUCUCUUGGACGCCCUCUGCAAGAGGCUGCUACUCCUCAGCCUCGGCCUACCGAUUGCAAUUCCUUGGAUCUUCCUCAUCCCCGAUCAUUGACACAGUUUGGAGAGCUUGGGCCCCAGCUAAGUGCAAGCUCCAUGCAUGGCUCUUCUCCAUUGGCAGGUUGCUUACGGCUGACAGGCUCAUGAAGAGACGGUGGCCAAACUGCUACUUCUGUCCGCUUUGCCGGAGAAAUCUGGAAACACAUGACCAUCUCUUCAUCGACUGUGCAUGGUCGCGCGAUCUGUGGCAAGCGGUCGCCAUUCGCUUUCGCUGUACUUCCCGACCCGCUACGUGGCAUUCGGAGCCCCCCUGGCUGAUUGGCUCCGGGGUCUGCCAACUGGGAGGAACUGCGCGUCAUUAA